rnacentral:lncRNA from 1 species
CUCCAGCAGGCAGUUGAACCAUAAGAACUAAGACCACGUCUUAAGCAUGUUGAAGCAGAACCUUGGGGAAAGACUGGUUCCUGAUGACCAUGAGUACUCUGCUGGAAUGUGUGCUGGAUUUGGGGGACAGCUGGAGUUUGGCCCAGGCUUCGCUACAUCGCCCCCAUGCUGCCAAGGAGCCCAGAAGACCUUGACCAAGGGCAGGAUGAGUCAGGAGCUACAAGCAAUCUUCCAAGACCAUUUCCUGUGGCCUCCCCUCCCUGGCCUAGGACCAAAGCAGGACCGUGGAGACUGCCCCUCUUCCAUCCUCUAUUGCCUCUGAAUCGGUGAUACUGAUUUAAGGCACUCACACUGAAGCCUCCAUUUAUACUUGUUUAGAGUUCUUUGGAAAUAAGAAAAAACAUACAAUUGUUUCUAUUUCUCUGAAAAUAAGGGCAAUACUAGAUACCUAUUGCUUAAAAUAAAUAUUGUUG